rfam:Triticum aestivum genome assembly, contig: Triticum_aestivum_CS42_TGACv1_scaffold_131748_2BL
UUACUACUCCCUCCGUCCCAAAAUUCUUAUCUUACAUUUGUCUAGAUACGAAUGUAUCUAACACUAAAACGUAACUAAAUACAUCCGUGUGUAGUUAAUCUAAGACAAGAAUUUUGGGACCGAGGGAUACGAC